AGUGAACGCUGGCGGCAGGCCUAACACAUGCAAGUCGAACGGAUCCUUCGGGAUUAGUGGCGGACGGGUGAGUAACACGUGGGAACGUGCCCUUUGGUUCGGAACAACUCAGGGAAACUUGAGCUAAUACCGGAUGUGCCCUUCGGGGGAAAGAUUUAUCGCCAUUGGAGCGGCCCGCGUCUGAUUAGCUAGUUGGUGAGGUAACGGCCCACCAAGGCGACGAUCAGUAGCUGGUCUGAGAGGAUGAUCAGCCACACUGGGACUGAGACACGGCCCAGACUCCUACGGGAGGCAGCAGUGGGGAAUCUUGCGCAAUGGGCGAAAGCCUGACGCAGCCAUGCCGCGUGAAUGAUGAAGGUCUUAGGAUUGUAAAAUUCUUUCAGCGGGGACGAUAAUGACGGUACCCGCAGAAGAAGCUCCGGCUAACUUCGUG
rnacentral:rRNA from 1 species